UAAUACCGCAUAUACCCUAAGGGGGAAAGAGGGCCUAUCCUUGGAAGCUCUUGCUGUUUGAUGAGCCUGCGUGAGAUUAGUUUGUUGGUGAGGUAAUGGCUCACCAAGGCUACGAUCUCUAGCUGGUCUGAGAGGACGAUCAGCCACACUGGGACUGAGACACGGCCCAGACUCCUACGGGAGGCAGCAGUGGGGAAUAUUGGACAAUGGGGGCAACCCUGAUCCAGGCAUGCCGCGUGUGUGAAGAAGGCCUUCGGGUUGUAAAGCACUUUAGGUAAGGAAGAAAAG
rnacentral:rRNA from 1 species